rnacentral:rRNA from 1 species
UACGUAGGUGGCAAGCGUUGUCCGGAUUACUGGGCGUAAAGAGCGCGCAGGCGGUCAUUCAAGUCGAGUGUGAAAGCCCCCGGCUCAACUGGGGAGGGUCACUCGAUACUGUUUGACUCGAAGGCGGGAGAGGGAAGUGGAAUUCCCGGUGUAGAGGUGAAAUUCGUAGAUAUUCGCAAGAACACCAGUGGCGAAGGCGGCUCACUGGCCCGAUACUGACGCUGAGGCACGAAAGCGUGGGGAGCAAACAGG